rnacentral:rRNA from 1 species
AUGAAACACUCCUACGGGAGGCAGCAGUGGGGAAUAUUGCACAAUGGGCGAAAGCCUGAUGCAGCGACGCCGCGUGGGGGAUGACGGUCUUCGGAUUGUAAACUCCUUUCAGUAGGGACGAAGCGAAAGUGACGGUACCUGCAGAAGAAGCACCGGCCAACUACGUGCCAGCAGCCGCGGUAAUACGUAGGGUGCAAGCGUUGUCCGGAAUUACUGGGCGUAAGGAGCUCGUAGGCGGUUUGUCACGUCGUCUGUGAAAUCCUCCAGCUCAACUGGGGGCGUGCAGGCGAUACGGGCAGACUUGAGUACUACAGGGGAGACUGGAAUUCCUGGUGUAGCGGUGAAAUGCGCAGAUAUCAGGAGGAACACCGGUGGCGAAGGCGGGUCUCUGGGUAGUAACUGACGCUGAGGAGCGAAAGCAUGGGGAGCAAACAGGAUUAGAAACCCUUGUAGUCCGAAGUUC